AUUGAACGCUGGCGGCAUGCUUUACACAUGCAAGUCGAACGGCAGCGCGGGCUUCGGCCUGGCGGCGAGUGGCGAACGGGUGAGUAAUGCAUCGGAACGUGCCCAUUAGUGGGGGAUAGCCCGGCGAAAGCCGGAUUAAUACCGCAUACGACCUGAGGGUGAAAGCGGGGGACCGAAAGGCCUCGCGCUAUUGGAGCGGCCGAUGUCGGAUUAGCUAGUUGGUGGGGUAAAGGCUUACCAAGGCGACGAUCCGUAGCUGGUCUGAGAGGACGACCAGCCACACUGGGACUGAGACACGGCCCAGACUCCUACGGGAGGCAGCAGUGGGGAAUUUUGGACAAUGGGGGCAACCCUGAUCCAGCCAUGCCGCGUGCGGGAAGAAGGCCUUCGGGUUGUAAACCGCUUUUGUUCGGGAAGAAAUCCUCUGGGCUAAUACCCCGGGGGGAUGACGGUACCGGAAGAAUAAGCACCGGCUAACUACGUG
rnacentral:rRNA from 1 species